UUCCGGUUGAUCCUGCCGGAGGCUACCGCUAUUGGAGUUCGAUUAAGCCAUGCGAGUCGCGAGACUUAGAAUCUCGGCGUACCGCUCAGUAACACGUGGGUAACCUGCCCUAUGCUAGGGGAUAACCUCGGGAAACUGAGAAUAAUACCCUAUAGUUCACCACGCCUGGAACGGUGGGUGGAUGAAAGCUCCGGCGGCAUAGGAUGGGCCUGCGGCGUAUCAGGUUGUAGGGGGUGUAAUGUACCCUCUAGCCAUCUACGCGUACGGGUGUUGGGAGACAUCGCCCGGAGAUGGAUUCUGAGACACGAAUCCAGACCCUACGGGGUGCAGCAGGCGCGAAAACUUGGCAAUGCGAGAAAUCGUGACCAGGGAACUCCAAGUGCAUCGGGUAAGACCGAUGCUUUUCUUGACUCUUCAAAGGUCUUGGAAUAAGGGGUGGGUAAGGACGGUGCCAGCCGCCGCGGUAAUACCGGCGCCUCAAGUGGUAGUCGCUUUUAUUGGGCCUAAAACGUCCGUAGCCGGUUUGGUACAUUCGUGGGUAAAUCAAGGCGCUCAACGUCUUGAAUUCUGCGAGCACGGCCAGACUUGGGACCGGGUGAGGUGUGGGGUACUCUCAGGGUAGGGGUAAAAUCCUGUCAUCCUGAGAGGACCACCUGUUGCGAAGGCGCCACACUAGAACGGAUCCGACGGUCAGGGACGAAGCCUAGGGGCACGAACCGGAUUAGAUACCCGGGUAGUCCUAGGUGUAAACGCUGUGGACUUGAUGUUGGGAGUGCUCCGAGCACCCUCAGUGUCGAAGCGAAGGUGAUAAGUCCACUGCCUGGGGAGUACGGUCGCAAGGCUGAAACUUAAAGGAAUUGGCGGGGGAGCACUGCAACCUGAGGAUUGUGCGGUUUAAUUGGAUUCAACGCCGGA
rnacentral:rRNA from 1 species